rnacentral:rRNA from 1 species
AGCUCACUGGUCGAGUGAUCCUGCGCCGAAGAUUUCCGGGGCUAAAACUUACUACCGAAGCUACGGCAUCAGUAAUGAUGGGUAGGGGAGCUUCCCAUACGGAUUGAAGCAUGACCGUAAGGACAUGGGGACAGUAUGGGAGUGAGAAUGUUGGCAUGAGUAGCGAGAUGUGGGUGAGAAUCCCACAGGCCGUAAACCCAAGGUUUCCAGGGGAAGGUUCGUCCGCCCUG